UACAUAGGUCGCAAGCGUUAUCCGGAAUUAUUGGGCGUAAAGCGUAUGUAGUCGGUUUAUUAAGUCUGAAGUUAAAGCCUGGGGCUCAACCCCAGCCCGCUUUGGAUACUGGUAAACUAGAGUUAUAGAGAGGUUAGUGGAACUCCAUGUGAAGCGGUGGAAUGCGUAGAUAUAUGGAAGAACACCAAUGGCGAAGGCAACUAACUGGCUAUACACUGACGAUGAGAUACGAAAGCGUGGGGAGCAAAUAGG
rnacentral:rRNA from 1 species